rfam:Anolis carolinensis unplaced genomic scaffold chrTn0168, whole genome shotgun sequence.
GAAAACUAUUUUUUUGGCCUAAAUAAAGGAGCCCAAUCCUAUUUGAUCUUGGAAGCUAAGCAGGGUCAGCCCUGGUUAGUACUUGGAUGAGCGUCUGCCAAUGAAUACCAGGUGAUGGCAGUGA